rnacentral:tRNA from 1 species
GGCGGGGUAGCUCAGAUGGUUAGAGCGUAGGAUUCAUAACCCUAAGGUCAGGGGUUCGAUUCCCCUCCCCGCUA